ensembl:snoRNA Small nucleolar RNA SNORD17
GUGACGUGAUGAACGUGUUUAUCCAUUCUCUGAGUGCUGCCGGCUCUGUCUCUCCACGGCCUUUGCAGUCCGUUCUGGACUGCAUGGUUGCGGCUGCCUGGCUGUCCUUUGCUAGACCAGUGUUCUGCUGGGCUAGCAGGUGGGAUGGUCAGGACAGCUGGUGUGGAGGGAUCAGACCAGCGCCAACAAAGACGAGCGGACACUUCUGAUCAC